rnacentral:rRNA from 1 species
CCCUUAGAUGUCCUGGGCCGCACGCGCGCUACACUGAGUGUCUGAGAUACGAGUCUGCCUGGUCCGGCAAGGUCUAGGUAAUCGCUAAAAGACACAUCAUGCUUGGGAUAGAUUAUUGCAAAUAUUAAUCUUGAACGAGGAAUUCCUAGUAAGCGCAAGUCAACAGCUUGCGUUGAUUACGUCCCUGCCCUUUGUACACACCGCCCGUCGCUACUACUGAUUGGAUGUUUAAGCGAGGUUCUCGAACUGCUAGCGACUUAGCUGCGGUGAGGUCGCAGUGUGGGAAGUGAACCUAGCUUUGGUGUCUAGAGGAAGUAAAAGUCGUAACA